rnacentral:rRNA from 1 species
UACGUGGGUGGCGAGCGUUGUCCGGAAUUACUGGGUGUAAAGGGAGCGUAGGCGGGAGAGCAAGUCGACUGUGAAAUCUAUGGGCUUAACCCAUAGCUGCGAUCGAAACUGUUCAUCUUGAGUGAAGUAGAGGCAGGCGGAAUUCCUAGUGUAGCGGUGAAAUGCGUAAAUAUUAGGAGGAACACCAGUGGCGAAGGCGGCCUGCUGGGCUUUAACUGACGCUGAGGCUCGAAAGCGUGGGUAGCAAACAGG